rnacentral:rRNA from 1 species
AGCGUAAUCACUUGUUCUUUAAAUGAGGACUAGUAUGAAUGGCCCCACGAGGGCUGCACUGUCUCCUUUUUCUAAUCAAUGAAACUAAUCUCCCCGUGAAGAAGCGGGGAUAAUUCUAUAAGACGAGAAGACCCUAUGGAGCUUUAAACAACUGAAACACUUGCUUUUCCAUUGACCUCUUCCGAGUUCUUUACUUCACUCAAGCAUUUUUAUUUCUAAUUUUAGGUUGGGGUGACCACGGAGCAAAACUAAACCUCCACGAAGAAAUGAAUACUUUUUAAGCCACAAACUACUUUUUUAAGCAUCAACAAAUUGACCUUCAUUGACCCAAUAUAUUGAUCAACGAACCAAGUUACCCUAGGGAUAACAGCGCAAUCUACUUCAAGAGCUCGUAUCGACAAGUAGGUUUACGACCUCGAUGUUGGAUCAGGGUAUCCUAGUGGG